ACGACGCUGGCGGCGUGCCUAACACAUGCAAGUCAACUUGACUGAAGGAGCAAUCUGACAGUAGAGUGGCGCAAGGGUGCGUAACGCGUAAGUAACUUGCCCAAGGUAAGGAAUAACGUCGAGAAAUCGGCGCUAAUACCUCAUAAUGCAGCGGAUCCGCAUGGAUAUGUGUUAAGGUUUACCGCCUUGGGAUAGGCUUGCGUCUGAUUAGCUAGUUGGUGUGGUAACGGCACACCAAGGCUACGAUCAGUAACUGGUCUGAGAGGAUGAUCAGUCACACUGGAACUGAGACACGGUCCAGACUCCUACGGGAGGCAGCAGUGAGGAAUAUUGGGCAAUGCUCGAAAGAGUGACCCAGCAACGCCGCGUGGAGGAUGAAGGUAUUCUAUAUCGUAAACUCCUGUGAGAGCAGACGAAAGACAGAUUAUUAAUCUGGAUGACUGUAUGCUCAGAGGAAGCCCCGGCUAACUACGUG
rnacentral:rRNA from 1 species